rnacentral:rRNA from 1 species
UACAMUGCAGUCGAGCGGGCGUAGCAAUACGUCAGCGGCAGACGGGUGAGUAACGCGUGGGAACGUACCUUUUGGUUCGGAACAACACAGGGAAACUUGUGCUAAUACCGGAUAAGCCCUUACGGGGAAAGAUUUAUCGCCGAAAGAUCGGCCCGCGUUUGAUUAGCUAGUUGGUGAGGUAAUGGCUCACCAAGGCGACGAUCAGUAGCUGGUCUGAGAGGAUGAUCAGCCACAUUGGGACUGAGACACGGCCCAMACUCCUACGGRAGGCAGCAGUGGGGAAUAUUGGACAAUGGGGGCAACCCUGAUCCAGCCAUGCCGCGUGAGUGAUGAAGGCCCUAGGGUUGUAAAGCUCUUUUGUGCGGGAAGAUAAUGACGGUACCGCAUGAAUAAGCCCCGGCUAACUUCGUGCCAGCAGCCGCGGUAAUACGAAGGGGGCUAGCGUUGCUCGAAAUCACUGAGCGUAAAGGGUGCGUACGCGGGUCUUUAAGUCAGGGGUGAAAUCCUGGAGCUCANCUCCWSAACUGCCUUUGAURCUGAAUAUCUUGAG